rnacentral:rRNA from 1 species
UUGGAGGGCAAGUCUGGUGCCAGCAGCCGCGGUAAUUCCAGCUCCAAUAGCGUAUAUUAAAGUUGUUGCAGUUAAAAAGCUCGUAGUUGAAUUUCGAGACCGGUUUAUUGGUCGUGCUUUUGUACGUACUGGUAUUAUUGGUUUCUCCUUUCUGACGAAUCUUAAUGCCAUUAAUUUGGUGUUUUGGGGAAUCAGGACUGUUACUUUGAAAAAAUUAGAGUGUUUAAAGCAGGCUCACGCUUGAAUACAUUAGCAUGGAAUAACGGAAUAGGACGUUUGAUCCUAUUUUGUUGGUUUCUAGGAUCGACGUAAUGAUUAAUAGGGAUAGUUGGGGGCAUUAGUAUUCAAUUGUCAGAGGUGAAAUUCUUGGAUUUAUUGAAGACUAACUACUGCGAAAGCAUUUGCCAAGGAUGUUUUCAUUAAUCAAGAACGAAAGUUAGGGGAUCGAAGACGAUCAGAUACCGUCGUAGUCUUAACCAUAAACUAUGCCGACUAGGGAUCGGAUGAUGUUAUUUUUAAUGACUCAUUCGGCGCCUUACGGGAAAC